GUUUCUUUUUCUGAUGCUGCUUGAUUCAUUUCAGUCACAAUCCACACAGUUGAACAACUGGCAACAAACUGGAAAUGAAAUAAAAUCACCAUUUGCAGGAAGGUACACAAGUGUGACGUGAUCAAGAAAAUCAUUGUCUGGCACUUUGACAGUCACACACUUCACAAGCGGCCAGUACCACCUCUUUACUUCUUCGCUCUCAUUUGAGUCACUUCUUGUAUAUUUCACAAAUUUUUCAGACAACCCUUCAGCCUGCAAAGUAAUAACAGGAGGAAUUACAUUAAAAUGAAGACAUUUUAA